rnacentral:rRNA from 1 species
AGUGGCGGACGGGUGAGUAACACGUAAGAAUUUGCCUUUAGGAGGGGGACAACAGCUGGAAACGGCUGCUAAUACCCCAUAUGCUUUCGAGUGAAAUGGAUUUCCGCCUGAAGAGAAGCUUGCGGCUGAUUAGCUUGUUGGUGAGGUAAUGGCUCACCAAGGCGACGAUCAGUAUCUGGUUUGAGAGGACGAUCAGACACACUGGAACUGAGACACGGUCCAGACUCCUACGGGAGGCAGCAGUGGGGAAUUUUCCGCAAUGGGCGAAAGCCUGACGGAGCAAUACCGCGUGAGGGAUGAAGGCCUAUGGGUUGUAAACCUCUUUUUUCAGGGAGGAACAAAAUGACGUGUACCUGAAGAAUAAGCAUCGGCUAACUCCGUGCCAGCAGCCGCGGUAAGACGGGGGAUGCAAGUGUUAUCCGGAAUCACUGGGCGUAAAGCGUCUGUAGGUGGUUAAGUAAGUCAACUUGUUAAAUCUUGAGGCUCAACCUCAAAAUCGCAGUCGAAACUGCUUGACUAGAGUAUAGUAGGGGUAAAGGGAAUUUCCAGUGGAGCGGUGAAAUGCGUAGAUAUAGGAAAGAACACCGAUGGCGAAGGCACUUUACUGGGCUAUUACUAACACUGAGAGACGAAAGCUAGGGUAGCAAAUGGGAUUAGAUACCCCAGUAGUCCUAGCUGUAAACAAUGGAUACUAGAUGUU